rnacentral:rRNA from 1 species
GACGAACGCUGGCGGCGUGCUUAACACAUGCAAGUCGAACGGAAAGGCCCUGCUUUUGUGGGGUGCUCGAGUGGCGAACGGGUGAGUAACACGUGAGUAACCUGCCCUUGACCUUGGGAUAACUUCAGGAAACUGGGGCUAAUACCGGAUAGGAGCUCCUGCUGCAUGGUGGGGGUUGGAAAGUUUCGGCGGUUGGGGAUGGACCCGCGGCUUAUCAGCUUGUUGGUGGGGUAGUGGCUUACCAAGGCCUUGACGGGUAGCCGGCCUGAGAGGGUGACCGGCCACAUUGGGACUGAGAUACGGCCCAGACUCCUACGGGAGGCAGCAGUGGGGAAUAUUGCACAAUGGGCGGAAGCCUGAUGCAGCAACGCCGCGUGCGGGAUGACGGCCUUCGGGUUGUAAACCGCUUUCGCCUGUGACGAAGCGUGAGUGACGGUAAUGGGUAAAGAAGCACCGGCUAACUACGUG